AUGGCAGAAAAAUUCUCUUCAUCAUUAAAAGAUUCAUAACAGAACAUAAUUAACAAACUACUCAAUCCAACAAAUAUUCAAAAAUAAAAUAUCUCUAUCUCUCUCUCUCUCUCUCUCUCUCUCUGUGUGUGUGCGCGCGCACACAAAGCUUUCCAUUCCAAAUUUCCAAUGCAUAUAUGCACCAACACUCAUCAAAUAAAACUGAGCAAGUAGCCAAGUAGAAUAUUGUCUUAAUGCAGAAAAUUAGGAAAACAUUUCCAUUAUAUUAUCUAAAGCCACCAAUUCAAGCUAGUAGUUAUGCUCCUGAACUGAAACCAAAAACGAUUAUUCCACAAUUUUUUGCUACAAAACCAUGAACAAAACUUCAACAAAUGGUGGUAAGCAUAGAGGAUAUUUUAUUUUUUUUUGAAAGGACUGAUAUCAGUACUAACAGUACUGAAUGACUGACGAAGUUAAAAUCUAAGUAAUUAACUAAAAGAAAUUAGCAAUAUGAUAGAAGGGACUUACGUCUUUUGACUUUUGAGUUUAGUUCAUAAGUAAACGAAUGAGGUGUUUUUCUUUGGUCCUGGAAUAGUUGAGAAGAAUUAAUGAAGGCAUUAAAAAGUAUCAAAGAGUUUAACGAAUAAAACCAAAAUUAUUCAUAACAUACAGUGUUCAUUAAUCAAAGUUCUAAAUAUUUAUGAUAGUAUUGCAGAUGGAAUAAUUCAAUCCAAGUCUAUCUAACAUAAGCGAAAUACAAACCAACAUCAUUAAAAGGUCAUGCAUCUCCAAUAUAGAUGUGAUGACAUGUAUAGAAGAAUAUAUAGAUAUUGAAAAUGUAAUCAGCAGAAAAUAAACCUUGAGACAUGGAACAUGACAGAAGAAGGUGAACCGAGCUUAGUGAAUUUUCAAAGUUAUCAUCCUUUUUUUUGCUCAAGAAUCAUUCACUUAUAGUCAAAAUCUCGUACUGUGAAUGAUAGUGGGUUCUUAUUGUCAAACCAAAAAACAGAGGAAGUAUUAAUACGGGAAGAAAUAAAAUCAACUUCAAGUUCAUUUUAUUACCUUAAAGAAAUCAAACCUCCAUAAUUGAAUUGAUUCCACUAUGGUAUCUGGAAUUGGCAGCUUCAUUGACGAUCUACGUACAAAUACUUCUUUAGAAAAUGCAAAAAAGUUUUGAAUUGAAGAGAGUAUGAAUGGCUGAUCAAAAGUUGGAAAAUUAUAAUCGGCGAACUGAAUUUCUGCAAUAGCUCGGUUCCCCUGUCAUAUAAAGUCCAGAUUUAUUUUCAGUACAAUAUAAUUCAAAGAUUUAAGUGUGACUUCAUUAAGAAGGUUGAGGAAUGAUGUUUCUGUAAAAUGAUUGGUGAGUAGAUUGAUCGAACUUCUAAUGGAAAGUUUGUGAGUGACAAUAGCAGGUUGGAUUUUUCCAUGCUUCUUUCCUAAAUAGUCAUAGAUAUUUUGACUAAACUUCAAUGAUUCAUGAGCUAAAAUAGGAUAAUAACUUUGUGUUCAAUGGGUGUCGAGUUAGAAACGUUUGCAUCUAGCCUGCAACUGUGCUGGAGCUCUUACUUAACCAAACGUUGUUAUUACAGUUUUUAGGAAUUCAAGUUGGAAACUAUAAAAGAUAUAAGCUGGUAGCUUAGCUAAGGAUACUUUUUAUUCCUUUGCAAAUAAUCUAAGUUGGUAGCUGAGUUAUAAAACUAAGGUAAUCUCAAUCUACCUAUCAAAUAAAUCAAAAUCAUGAAUGAAAUUAGCUUAGCAACUGUCACUAAACAUACUAAACCCAAGGCAGAGCACAUACCAUGAGUUUCGAUAUGAGAGAUCUACAAAAAGAAAUUAACAGCCAACUUAAUUGUAAAAUUUCCUAUGGCAGACCUACAUCACACACGAUGACAUGACUUUUAAAACACACAAUCACACACAAUGACAUGCAAAGCUACUUAACAGAAGAACUCAUCACACACAAUUAACAGGAGAUUUUAACUUGUUUAGUUGAUUAUCAAACUGCUCAAAUUAAUUAUCUCUUCUUAGUUUCUCAUGGGUGUUUCUUACAAUCACCAAUUAAGUUUAAAUAUAUACACAACAUAAAAAAAAAAAAAAAAAAAGACAAUUUCUCUGCUUACCUCAAUUUAAGUGAGACGGCUAAAAGAAGAUAUUAUAUACUCAAUUAAGUUUAAAUAUAUCACAAAUUUAUUGAAGUUCUUAUAUGAAUUCAGAUGGCUCAGAAAUUAAGGUCUUACCCGCACCUUUUGUUAAAGGGAAUAUAAGCGAAGAAAUCGGGAAGCACAGCACAAUUAAUAGACAUUGAAUUACAGUUUUUCAAAGGAAGCAACCAAAUCUUAUUAAGGUUUUUAAGGGUUUAAGGUUUCUAAGCAAAGUUUAAGGAUUAAGUUUAGACGGAGGAGAUUAUGGUUUGAGAUCGUGAAAAAUCUAGGGGUUUAAGUGUUUGUAAUAAAAACUGUAGCUGGGCUUAGCUUGGACUUGAAUUGGGCUUUCUUAUACGGAUCCAAUCUAUGUAAAUAAGCCACGUGGUACUUGUUAGGCUCCACUAUUAUAUAGUCAUACCUUUGAUUUGCUAAAGGAACAUGGCAGGAGAAGAUGAGACAACCUAAUUAAGUCGAAGAAAAAUUUCAGGGAUUUAUGCAGACAUGGAUAGUUGGGGCGUGGG
rnacentral:lncRNA from 1 species